GUAGAUGUAGGAAGUGACUGUAGGUUUAGAUGAAUGGAAAAUGAACUUGCCAGUUCACAGCUAUGUCCUUCCCAAUUUAGGAGGUUAAGGGCAGGAAAAACAUGAGAAACUCUUUUGAGAAGCUGCACAAGCUGACAUGGAGGAUCAAGGAUUUCAAAAGCUUUGAAUAUAAAGAGCCCUAUGCCUUCACAAGAACAAGUUCCCACACCAGGGUCAAGAAGGAAACCGUAAGUCAAGACAAAAGUGCCCAGUGAAGGCAGAAGAUGAGGGGUCUCAGGUUGCAUCUUCGGAGGCACGAGGAUUCAAAGGUGAACAAAGCACACAGUACAUCAUUUGAUGUGACAAAUUCUCCUGUUUCCCAGGCUGGAGUGCAGUGGUGCGAUCUGGGCUCACUUCAUCCUAUGCCUCCCAGGCUCAAGCGAUCCUCCUGCCUCCACCACUGGAAUAACUGGGACUACAAACUCACACCACCAUGCCUAGUUAAUUUCUGUAUCUUUUUGAGUAGAGAUAGUGUUUUGCCAUGUUAUCCAGGGUGGCCUCCAACCCGGGAGCUCAAGCCAUCCACCCUCUUCGGCCUCCCAAAGUGCUGGGAUUGCAAGCAUGAGCCACUGCACUGGCUAAUUCUUUAUUUUAAUGUUCAUGUUUUCAUUAGGCAAUUUCAGUACACCCAAGUGUAUUUUGAGAAGUGAUUCACUUUUAAUCUCUCCUAGUUUCUUUCAAUUAUGGCCGCAAAAUUCAUUAACGUUGUAUGACUGAUUUAAGGAAAUGCUGUUGCAUUAGUGAGUAUCUACUUUUAUAAACCUAAAAUAGUUUCUUACCUCAUGUCUCCUUACAAUCAUCUGAUUAUAGACAGUAUCAAUUCUAUGAACUUGCAUACUUCCAAAAAGAAAA
rnacentral:lncRNA from 1 species